AUUGCUUCUCGGCCUUUUGACUAAGAUCUAAGUGUAGUAUCUGUUCUUAUCAGCUUAAUCUCUGGUACAGCCUCCAUAGGGAGCUCAGAAAACACAUGCAUCGCAAGGGACUGGCGGAUGAUAGCCUUU
rnacentral:snRNA from 1 species